AAUCUAGAGGUUUAAUGGUGGGUUUUGCAAUAGUAGCAAACCUAGGGUUAAAAAUGAGGUUUUUGUAAAUACUUGGGUUUGAUCUAAAUUGAGUGGUUGUAAACCUAAUUGCUAGGUAUUCCGACGCGUUGGCGAAGUCGGUUCGUCGAUUCGUCGAGCGGGUGCAAAGAUAUCGAAGAAAAGGCUUGUUGAGGUACAGAUUGCCGCAGCUCGC
rnacentral:lncRNA from 1 species